ACAGGGAUUGCCCUAGUAACGGCGAGUGAAGCGGCAACAGCUCAAAUUUGAAAUCUGGCGUCUUUGGCGUCCGAGUUGUAAUUUGCAGAGGGCGCUUUGGCGUUGGCAGCGGUCCAAGUUCCUUGGAACAGGACGUCACAGAGGGUGAGAAUCCCGUACGUGGUCGCUGGCCUUCGCCGUGUAAAGCCCCUUCGACGAGUCGAGUUGUUUGGGAAUGCAGCUCUAAAUGGGAGGUAAAUUUCUUCUAAAGCUAAAUACUGGCCAGAGACCGAUAGCGCACAAGUAGAGUGAUCGAAAGAUGAAAAGCACUUUGGAAAGAGAGUCAAACAGCACGUGAAAUUGUUGAAAGGGAAGCGCUUGCAGCCAGACUUGCCUGUAGUUGCUCAUCCGGACUUUUGUCCGGUGCACUCUUCUAUAGGCAGGCCAGCAUCAGUUUGGGCGGUUGGAUAAAGGUCUCUGUCAUGUACCUCUCUUCGGGGAGAACUUAUAGGGGAGACGACAUGCAACCAGCCUGGACUGAGGUCCGCGCAUCUGCUAGGAUGCUGGCGUAAUGGCUGUAAGCGGCCCGUCUUGAAACACGGACCAAGGAGUCUAACAUCUAUGCGAGUGUUUGGGUGUCAAGCCCGAGCGCGCAAUGAAAGUGAACGGAGGUGGGAACCUUUCGGGGUGCACCAUCGACCGAUCCUGAUGUCUUCGGAUGGAUUUGAGUAAGAGCAUAGCUGUUGGGACCCGAAAGAUGGUGAACUAUGCUUGAAUAGGGUGAAGCCAGAGGAAACUCUGGUGGAGGCUCGCAGCGGUUCUGACGUGCAAAUCGAUCGUCAAAUUUGGGCAUAGGGGCGAAAGACUAAUCGAACUAUCUAGUAGCUGGUUCCUGCCGAAGUUUCCCUCAGGAUAGCAGUGACGUAUUCAGUUUUAUGAGGUAAAGCGAAUGAUUAGAGGCCUGGGGGUUGAAACAACCUU
rnacentral:rRNA from 2 species